AGAGCGGAAGCCCGGAGAUGGGCACUGAGACAAGGGCCCAGGCCCUACGGGGCGCAGCAGUUGCGAAAACUCGCCAAUGCGCGAAAGCGUGAGCGGGCUACCCCGAGUGCCGUCCGCUGAGGACAGCUUUUCCCUAGUGUAAUGAGCUAGGAGAAUAAGGAGAGGGCAAGACUGGUGUCAGCCGCCGCGGUAAUACCAGCUCUCCGAGUGGUGGGGACGAUUAUUGGGCUUAAAGCGUCCGUAGCCGGCCUGACAAGUCCCUCGUCAAAUCCAACGACCCAAUCGUUGGGCCGCGAGAGAUACUGCCAGGCUAGGAGGCGGAAGAGGCCGACGGUAUUCUCGGGGUAGGGGUGAAAUCCUAUAAUCCCGGGAAGACCACCGGUGGCGAAGGCGGUCGGCU
rnacentral:rRNA from 1 species